AGAAAUGGCUAAACAACAUUACAAUUCGAACGGCGGACACUUUUGAGCGAAAGGAUCCACCGAUGCAAACCACAAAACACCGCUGUAGAUGAAAAAUCUGUCACUUCACGUGUAACGGAGGCCAGCUGUUAGAGGGAGAGCUGUGUGUGCAGGCAGAGGUGCGAGCUCGUCUCUCCCUCAGAGGACCGAUGGCGGUUUCGAGACUAUGAGGGGUUGCAUUACCACGGUGCUCACCGUGUCCACCAUCAUCACAGGGGAAACCGCCUCCAUGCCCCGAGUGUCUUACAUCAAAUGUGGAAAUUAACCUUUGGGUCAGAUUAGUCAUUAUGUCUGUGAUCGAGCACGCAGCUGUCCACAUUACAGGAGCGUAAAGAGAGGACACAAAGCAGUAAGUUGCCGUGUACGUGUGGAAUGGUUCAUCCGGGGCAGAUGAUGUACAACAGCAGCUACAGUGACAUGGAUGUGAUGAGCACCGGGAACUACGGCAUGUCAGAGCUGAAAGGAGACACAAAGGAUCAGUUCCUGAUGCAUUUAGUUUUGGAUAAUGAACAAGGACCUUCACGCAGCAGUUUAUUUAUAGACACACAUGCUAUUGACAAAUACUCAUGGCUCAUCUUCCCUGGAGCGUACACACUCUUCAACAUUAUAUACUGGUCCAUAUACUCUCGGUGACUGCUGCUCCUUUCUUUUUACUCUACAGACAUUUGCGAAGCAGAAUCACAAUACAUUUUGUACUGUGAUGAUCAAAAAACUAAUUUUCUCAACUUGUCAAUAACAAAUAUUCUUGAUACGUGUGUGUAUCAUUUUACAGUUAACAAAGAAAAGCAUGCAUUCUUUUUUUUGUGAAAAACACAUUUUGGUUAAGUAGGAUCAUGUCAUUGGUAAACAAUCAUUGUGAUCUGGUCCUGGAUAGAUACGUUUGUUUUGCUGUAUGUUUGUUUCAUUUAAUGACUUAAAUGUGUAAUGAUCUUUAUGGAAAGUGUUUCUUUGCUCUGUAUUGUGUCUGUUAACAUCAAAUUCUUUGGAAAGGAAGUGUCUCAGCUGUGUUUGUUUAAUUUGUUUUAUAAG